ACUUGGCUAUGACAAAGUUCCAGGUGUUGUGGUUCGUCGGCAGCUUGUGCAGACAGCAGCGGAAUCGGACAGUGAGGGACAACAGGGACCAGUCCAGAAGUCUGGGGAGGACUCGGACAAGGGUCCUGCAUC